GACGAACCGUACGAACGUUAUUCGGAAUUACUGGGCUUAAAGGGUUUGUAGGCGGCCUUGUAAGUCAGGUGUGAAAUCCCUCGGCUCAACCGAGGAAUGGCGCUUGAUACUGCACGGCUUGAGGGAGACAGGGGUAAGCGGAACUGAUGGUGGAGCGGUGAAAUGCGUUGAUAUCAUCAGGAACACCGGUGGCGAAAGCGGCUUACUGGGUCUCUUCUGACGCUGAGGAACGAAAGCUAGGGGAGCGAACGGG
rnacentral:rRNA from 1 species